UAGAUCAGGUUUCUCUUCAUUGACGCAUAAAUCUUUUGCUUUUUACUAAAGAUUUCUGUGGAGGCUUUGCUCUGACGGAGCUGAACAUUUUUGGUCAACAAAUGUUAGAACUAUUGA